UGUUAUACAGGCAUACUGCUCUCUCUCUCUUGUGGGGAGUCUGAACCUCAACUUCACUCUAGUGACGCACAUGGGAAUCGGUCAGGUCUUUUCUGUAUGCUGAAAAAAGAGGAUCUGUGUUCCAGUGGAUUCAUUGGAUGGCGAGCCACCCAGUUGAUAUUUAGGACCAGCGUUUGUGUUCUGCUGAAACAGCAGAUCCAACCUUCUGCUGUAUGGUAGGAUCGUGAAGGACAUUGGAUCAUACAGGUCUCAGAUCACUGUGAACGGAAGUGCACUUCGAUACUCAGAUCUCUUGACUUUGGACUCACAGAUUAAAUGUGAAAUUGAUCUGUGCUGACUUUGACUAAGACAAUAUUUCCAAGCGUUGAGCAGAUAAAAGAAACACACAGACAAUUUAUUUUGUUUUAAGGGCCCUCUUUUUUAUUUUUCUUAAAUCAUUUUGUAUUUCCUGUUGCAAUUUAAAAGUGCAUAGUAAAAUACUGCAAACUGUU